AAACCUGUAACUUAUCUGAUGUGCCUUCUCAGUUUCUAGGUGCUGAAUGUUAAGAUUUUUGGAUCUGAGGAAAGAUUGUCUCAAGCCUCAGGAGAAGCAUGUGUCAUACAGUCAUCACUGGGACUUCUCACUGGUGACCAUUUGUCUCCUUCUGUCUGGCACAUGAAGACUGAACCCCUUGUGUUGGAUGAGCCUGUAUAAUAGAUCUGGUGAGUCUCACAUCAAACAUGAUGUUUUAUGUGUAGGUCAAAAUCCUCCAAAGCUUUCUGUUAUUUCUC
rnacentral:lncRNA from 1 species